AUACGGAGGAUGCGAGCGUUAUCCGGAUUUAUUGGGCGUAAAGGGUCCGCAGGUGGUCUGUUUAGUCUGGGGUGAAAGCGUUGAGCUCAACUCAAUUAAGCCUUAGAUACUGGCAGACUAGAGUGCAGAAGAGGGUUAUGGAAUUCCAUGUGUAGCGGUAAAAUGCGUAGAUAUAUGGAGGAACACCGGUGGCGAAGGCGGUAACCUGGUCUGUUACUGACGCUCAGGGACGAAAGCGUGGGGAGCAAAUAGGAUUAGAUACCCUAGUAGUCCACGCCCUAAACGAUGAUUACUAAAUGUUGGGGAAACUCAGUGUUGCAGCUAACGCAAUAAGUAAUCCGCCUGGGGAGUAUGCACGCAGGUGUGAAACUCAAAGGAAUUGACGGGG
rnacentral:rRNA from 1 species